rnacentral:rRNA from 1 species
UACGUAGGGGCCUAGCGUUGUCCGGAUUUAUUGGGCGUAAAGAGCUCGUAGGCGGCUUGGUAAGUCAGGUGUGAAAUCUCCACGCUCAACGUGGAGGGGCCACCCGAAACUGCCAUGGCUUGAGUCCGGUAGGGGAGUGUGGAAUUCCCGGUGUAGCGGUGAAAUGCGCAGAUAUCGGGAGGAACACCCGUAGCGAAGGCGGCACUCUGGGCCGGUACUGACGCUGAGGAGCGAAAGCGGUGGGGAGCAAACAGGG